CUGCGCCUGCGGAGGACGCAGCACCUCCCACACCAGCGCAGUGCCUUGCAGGCGGCCGGGUGGUGUACCGUCUCGUGAACCGCAAUUUUGCGGAUUCAAAUUCCUUCC
rnacentral:sRNA from 12 species